ensembl:lncRNA
CCCUUUGGAAAGAAGACAGUCAGAGGGAGAAGGAGACGAAGCGGUGAGCAGAAAAGCAAAUAUCCUACCCUAAACAGGACAGUGAAACCUCAGCAAGCCCCUCCGGCUGACCCCGUCCAGUGCAGGGUCAGGCCUGAGGACGCUCUUAAGGAGCAAACUGAUUCCUCUUCCGAGGAAGGAAGCUCUGCCUCUCACCGCCGCACUGCCCCACGACGUCAAGGGAGAAAGAAUCGAACUCUUAAGGAUGCUGAAUGAGAGACAGGGUCACACAUCUUGGUCUGGAGAGGUCUGGCUGUAACCUGAGAACCUAAUUCAGGUCUAGAGAUGGUUUGAUGAACAAGAGGGGAUCAAACUCAUCCCGGGGGCAAAGGAAUUCUGCCAGCCCCCCUGCAGGGAGAGAGCUUGGACAUGACAUUGAGGGUUGGGGAGCCUUCUCCAAGGGUUCUCCAAGGGCAUGGGCUCUGGGCAAGGGUCUUUCUGGAUCUUUCCUUCCCUUGCCAACAGGAAGCCGGGAUCACUCAGGGGACAGGUGCAGCUCUGACUGCCCUCCUAGGAGCUGCCAGUCCAGAGGGCACGGGUGGGCAUCCAUGAGACUGGGCACAUCUCCGCUGCCACUGCUGGCACCCUGGCUUCCUGCCUCAGAGGCCAAACCUGUCACCUUUGGCUGUCAGACUUUGGCCAGCGGGCUGUAACCACAGUUGAGACGGAAGAGCAGUUCAGCUUAGAAACACCCCAUGAGCAGGCUGCCUGCCACCUGGAGAGGCAGUGGGUGGACACGGGGCUUCGGGUCAGGUGUCAGAGGGCAUAGCCGCACUGCCCACUCGCUAGAAUUUUACUGACGCAGCUUUCCUGGGCUGCUGUUCUUGCUGCUCCCCCUCCCCCCCUUUUUUGUUAGAGGGCCAUUUCCAGAAAAAUAAGAUUAUUUGUGGGCCACAUUUCUCAUUUCACAACGUUUUUUAAUGACUAUUAGCGAUGGCAACAACCUGCAUUUGUGCUUCAUCACGUCUGUUUCCUUAAAGUAAAACGCUAGAGGAUUUUAGUUUCGCUUAAAUCGGCUCUUUGCAAGAGGAAAAGAUCCGAAGGUGAUGACAAUGGUUGGUGAUGGCUGCACAACUGUGUGGAUUGAUUCCACGGAACUGCACAUUCCAAAAAUGGCUAAAAUGUUGAAGUCUAUGCCACGCGUAAUGUUUUACUGCAGGGAAAUGGGCGCCGCGAAGCACAAAUGCAUGUGUGGCAACCUUUGCGAUAUCAUAAUGAAAGUCUCCCGGGGGGCUGUGAGAAUUAAAUGGGUUAAUGUAUAAACACCAGAGCGGCCCGCCGUCAAGGUUGGCUGUUCGCAUCCUUGUGUUCGUCUGAUGCCUCCCAGCCCGCCCCCGGCUGCAGUUCUCAGGGAGCCCAGCAGAGGGCGGUAGCUCAAGCUCGUCACAGAUUGGGGGAAGGGAGUGGUACGUGAUCGUGAUCCAGCGUUUUGUCCUGUGUUCUCAACGCUCUUGGUUUCUCUGGCCGGGGUCGCUACCUCCUGCCAGAGUCUGGGGGUACACCCUUCCCUUUCCCCUGGAAGAAGGCUAGGCCCCAAAGCAGCGCUUUCUCUCCCACGUGCAAGGGGGGCUGUCUCCUUCCGGUCAAGGUGCUGUAAUAAAACGCCCGCAAACCCAGAGGCAUGUAAACCACGGGCGCUUACUUCUCGGGUUCCGGAGCCUGGGAAGUCCGAGAUCAAGGUGCCAGCAGAUUCAGUGUCUGGGAGAGAGUCCUGUUCCUGUUCACCCACAGCAUCUUCUGCCUGUUUCCUGGUGUGGCGGAAGGGGCAGUGGAGCCCUGGGGGGGUCCCUUCGAUAAGGACCCUGAUCCCAUGAUGGGGCUGCAACCUCAUGACGGCAUCAUCUCCCCAAGGCCCCCUGACAUCAUCGCAGCAGGAUAAGAACCGCAGCGGGAACUGUGGGGGGAUACAGACAUUGGAUCCAUCACAGAAGCUGAUUGGGUCUUCGCUUUCAGGACCGUGCCUUCAGAUCCCCGUAGACCUGGAGCUUUCUCCCCUCCCGCUGUCUGUCCUGCACCUCAGCGAAGUGCUUCUCCAGCUGUGAUGAGCCCACGGAUGAGGGGAAGGCCCUCAUAAGAUGACUCAGUCAGGGGCUGUGGGUUUCUGUUGGUGCCCGGAACAGCCCCCAAGGAGCAAAUCCAAGACUCAGAAUGCUGUGUGGUGUGGCAGAGAAAGACAAAAGCAGGCUCUCUCCCCAGACUAUGGCCACACGGCUGGUGGGGUGUAUUUCCAGUCUUGCCACAGCUACUGGUCACUGGCCGUCGGAGCUC